GGGUGACAGAGAGACGUUUGAGAACUACUACAGGAAACAGAGGAAAAAACAGGCCAGGCUGGUGCUGCAGCCCCAGUCUAAUAUGCAGGAGACCGUGGAGGGUUACCGGCGCUACUUCAACCAGAUCGUAGGCUUCUUCCUGGUGGAGGACCACGUUCUGCACUCCACACAGGGACUGUUGACCAGAGCCUUUACUGAUGAACUGUGGAACAUGGCCCUGUCUAAGAUCACUGCCGUGCUCCGCACACACUCUUCGUACUGCAGUGAUCC